UACAGAGGUCCCAAGCGUUGUUCGGAUUCACUGGGCUUAAAGCGUGCGUAGGCGGUCUUGUUAGUCAGGUGUGAAAGCCCUCAGCCUAACUGAGGAAUUGCGCUUGAUACUGCAUGACUAGAGAAUGAUAGAGGUGGGUGGAACUGAUGGUGGAGCGGUGAAAUGCGUUGAUAUCAUCAGGAACACCAGUGGCGAAGGCGACCCACUGGGUCAUUUCUGACGCUGAGGUACGAAAGCUAGGGUAGCGAACGGG
rnacentral:rRNA from 1 species